ACCUUAAUGGAUGAAAGCAUACUUGGUAAGAGAAAGAAAAGAAGCAACUUUGUUAGUAGAAUUGAAGUGGGCUUGCAAGUGAAUGAAGCUUUAGAUCCACAACCAAGGCAAACUAUCACUCGAAAGGAGGUGGAGCAAGUUAAUGGUGAUGAGAUAGAUAGAAAUACAGCAACUAGUAAGAUCAAAGGAAGAGGUAAGAGAGG